UGGCUGGCUGAGGGCUCCAGCCUCCGGCUCUGCCACCCCAGCCCCGGGGAGCCCAGAGCGGCGCGGCCGGUCACUGGCGGUGCGGCGGCCCAGCCCACCGCUGCCUGGAGCGGAGUCCCACCCUGGACCCUGCCUGCCUGUGCCGCUCGGUCUCAGGCUGGGGCCAGGACAGGAGGAGCGAAACUUCCAUGUAAAUACAGUUUCUGAAGGAAGUGAUGGCAGGAGCCUCAAAUGGCUAAUAGGGUUGUACAACACAGAGAAGGACUAUGGUUUCCUAUGGAAAAAAGGGCUGAUUAUCAUUGGAGAAAUGUGAGGCUAACCAGAGUCUCCUGGACAAGGAUUCAUAUUCAAAGUUUUGAAUGGACCAUGAUGCUUCUAGAAAAGAGCAAUUUCCUCUGUCAGUUUUGGAGUGUGAAACUUUAAGUAGCUACCUGAGAAUCCAUCAGUUAAGCCUGUCAGCUAAGUGAACUUUGAAUUUGUCUGUGCUUGCAUACAGCACAGUAGAACACUAACAGUAUGCAUCAAAGUGCUAAAACAGUAGAAAAAGGUAUCUUACUAUUUCCAAGGAGACAAAGAAAAUACACUUUCCCAAAACAAUAUACUUCAACUGAGUUAGUUAUUCUACCCUGAAAGUCCCAUAAAAUAAGAAGAGCUGAUAAAAUAGUGUAUACAGUCAAGCACAAUUUUGACUCUAGUUUUAUUCUAUUUAUUUCCAUUCCUUUUGUUUUCAUGUAAUUUCAUUCAUAUACAGAGGCUAGUCUUUUCAAGAGCAAGUGGAUACAAAGUAAAUUGAUUGUACUGCAAUUGAGACUUCAACUCCAUCCAAAAUAAUCAAAUAUUUUCUUAUUGUACUGAGCAAGAUACUAUAUGCAGCCUUUCUGCACCAAAUUCAUUCCAUGCGUGAAAUAUAGGAACUGAUGUAAUGGGUAAGUUCAAGCUUUAGUGAUUACCCAUGCCUUCUGCCUACUGACAUGUCCCGACACCACGGUAAGGAACAUCGUGGCGAACACGAUUGGCAGAGCCCCCUCCAACCAAGACAUCGCCACCUUCCUGAGCGCUCCCUGGAUGGGGAAUUUGGACAGGACGGGCGUGAUAUCACUUCACUGUGGUCCCGCACUCACAACGCCACGAGUCACCACGAGUCACCUGGGGAAGCACAUCGGCUGCCACUAGGAGUGGUGCGAGGAGCUCCAGGAGCUGGGAGUCUGGGAGCCGCAGAUCAGGUCCAACAACAUCACCAUUGUCACCCCUAGCGCCCGGGGCUUGCUGGAGAGGACCCUGAAGGCUGCCAUCCACUUGCUGUACGUGGAAACCCUGAAGCAUAAACCGGACCAGGGUAAAGCCUUUGAGUUGACCAGCAAGUGGGACGCCAGCAACCACUUCCUCAAAAUAUUUUUGGGGGGGCAGCUUCACCUGUUUCGCCAACUGGUGGUUCAUACACCGUGACCGGCUCAACUGCAUCCCGCUCAACGGAGCCGUCCGCCACAGGAACCGAGACAAGCUUGCAGGAAGUGCGGCUACUCCAACGAGACCCUGCCCCACGUCCUAUGCAGCUGCAAACCUCACUCCAGAGCCUGGCAGCUACACCACAACAUCAUCCAGAACUGCCUGGUGAAAGCCAUCGCACCACACCUGGGGGAGAUCUCCGUGAACUGUGCCAUCCCCGGUACCAAUAACCAUCUAGGACCUGAUGUCAUCAUCAUCAACGAGGCCUAGAAAAAGAUCAUCCUCGUCGACGUCACAUCUCCUUUGAGAACAGGAUCCUGGCAUUUCGCGAAGCCCGAGCCCGUAAACUGGAAAAGUAUCCCCCCCUGGCUGACAUCCUGAGAGCAAAGGGCUGCGAGGUACAGAUGGACACCCUGAUCGUCAGAGCCCUGGGCACCUGGGACCCCGGCAACGAGCGUGUGCUGCGGACCUGCGGGAUCGGUUGACACUACGCACGGCUCAUGCGGCACCUCGUGGUCUCAGACACCAUCUGAUUGUCCAGGGAUAUCUACAUUGAGCACAUCACCAGCCACCGACAGUACCAGGAGCAUGAGUCAGAGUGACAUCGUUCUUCAACUACGAGAAAGGGACCAAGAGACUUU